CACCCACGUCCGGCUCCACGAACCGCCUUCUCUGAGGGGCCGCUGGGGCGGGCGAGUUGCGCGUGCGCGAGGCUGUGCCGGGGGCGGGCCGGAAAGAGCGCAGCUGCUGGAAUUUCGGGGACCGCGACGCCGGGGAGGAGCCUUGGGCCACGCGACUGGAUUGGGGCGUGGAGAACGGCUUUCCAGGCUCUUCCCAUCCGGGGAGCCUAACGGGCGUGGGGAGCAGCGCGAGGAGGCUGCGGCGGGUUGCUCGUAAUGGAAGGGAAAUUGGGGGAAAACCCCCACCAGGCUCCAACAGAAGACGGGACAGAGGACCUGAACAACAGAAAAAACAAAGUGCGCACGAGAAAAACGUUCCCCUCAGUAGUGGACAAAGUUGCAAAUUGAGCACUGACGGCGGCGUUCUGUCUCCAUAACAACGCAGUGAUGAGUCAGAAUGUGGAUGAUGGAUUUAGUGGUGACUCAAAUAGACUCCUUGUUCAGUGACUACAGCUAGAGUCUCUGCAUGGCUGCAGUGCCCAAGCACAGGUGUACCAUAAGCCUUCUAGUGUUACCAAGUCUGUGGGCAUCAUCUUGCACCCUCAUAUUCAUACCCAAGGUGUGUUGGACCCUGGAAUCCAGUUGAUCCCACAUGACGUCAUCCCUGCCGUCUUUAGUCACCUUUCUGAAAGUUAGCCCUGGGGUCAUCUGGUUCCUCUCCCCUAACCCAACCUCAUGCUCCUUUUCUUUCCUGACUUUCUCCUGCAGCCUCUGGAACCUAUGCCACAUUUCUCACUAAGUUUACACUAAUACAUUUUAUACAUUUUCUUGCUAUUAUAAGUAGGACCUUUUAAUUGCUCUGUUUGCUUACUGGUUUCUUUUAGUAUAAAAAGAAGUGCCUUGAUUUUUAUUAGUUUCUUUCAUGU